GACGAACGCUGGCGGCGUGCUUAACACAUGCAAGUCGAACGGAAAGGCCCAGCUUUUGUGGGGUGCUCGAGUGGCGAACGGGUGAGUAACACGUGAGUAACCUGCCCUAGACUUUGGGAUAACUUCAGGAAACUGGGGCUAAUACCGGAUAGGGGCCCCUGCUGCAUGGUGGGGGUUGGAAAGUUUCGGCGGUUGGGGAUGGACUCGCGGCUUAUCAGCUUGUUGGUGGGGUAGUGGCUUACCAAGGGUUUGACGGGUAGCCGGCCUGAGAGGGUGACCGGCCACACUGGGACUGAGACACGGCCCAGACUCCUACGGGAGGCAGCAGUGGGGAAUAUUGCACAAUGGGCGGAAGCCUGAUGCAGCGACGCCGCGUGCGGGAUGACGGCCUUCGGGUUGUAAACCGCUUUCGCCUGUGACGAAGCGUGAGUGACGGUAAUGGGUAAAGAAGCACCGGCUAACUACGUG
rnacentral:rRNA from 1 species